CUUUAAAUCCUUUAACGAGGAUCAAUUGGAGGGCAAGUCUGGUGCCAGCAGCCGCGGUAAUUCCAGCUCCAAUAGCGUAUACUAAAAUUGUUGCAGUUAAAAAGCUCGUAGUUGGAUCUCGGGUGCCGGCAGGCGGUUGGCCGCAAGGCCUUAACUGCCUGCUCCGGCCCGGCCUCCUGGUCGUGCCCUGGUUCUCUUAACCGAGUGCCUUGGGUGACCGGAACGUUUACUUUGAUAAAAUUAGAGUGUUCAAGGCAGGCUGUCGGCCUGGAUGGUGGUGCAUGGAAUAAUGGAAUAGGACCUCGGUUCCGUUCUGUUGGUACUUAGGAAGCAGAGGUAAUGAUUAAGAGGGACGGCCGGGGGCAUCCGUAUUACGGUGUUAGAGGUGAAAUUCUGUGAUCAUCGUAAGACGAACAGAAGCGAAAGCGUUUGCCAAGAAUGUUUUCAUUAAUCAAGAACGAAAGUCAGAGGUUCGAAGACGAUCAGAUACCGUCGUAGUUCUGACCAUAAACGAUGCCGACUAGCGAUCUAUCGGAGUUGCAUCGCGACCCGGCAGGCUGCCCCCGGGAAACCAAAGUCUAUGGGUUCCGGGGGGAGUAUGGUUGCAAAGCUGAAACUUAAAGGAAUUGACGGAAGGGCACCACCAGGAGUGGAGCCUGCGGCUUAAUUUGACUCAACGCGGGGAAACCUACCAGGCCCGGACACUGUAAGG
rnacentral:rRNA from 1 species